rnacentral:rRNA from 1 species
UUAAGCGACUAAGCGUACACGGUGGAUGCCCUGGCAGUCAGAGGCGAUGAAGGACGUGCUAAUCUGCGAUAAGCGUCGGUAAGGUGAUAUGAACCGUUAUAACCGGCGAUUUCCGAAUGGGGAAACCCAGUGUGUUUCGACACACUAUCAUUAACUGAAUCCAUAGGUUAAUGAGGCGAACCGGGGGAACUGAAACAUCUAAGUACCCCGAGGAAAAGAAAUCAACCGAGAUUCCCCCAGUAGCGGCGAGCGAACGGGGAGCAGCCCAGAGCCUGAAUCAGUAUGUGUGUUAGUGGAAGCGUCUGGAAAGGCGCGCGAUACAGGGUGACAGCCCCGUACACAAAAAUGCACAUGCUGUGAGCUCGAUGAGUAGGGCGGGACACGUGGUAUCCUGUCUGAAUAUGGGGGGACCAUCCUCCAAGGCUAAAUACUCCUGACUGACCGAUAGUGAACCAGUACCGUGAGGGAAAGGCGAAAAGAACCCCGGCGAGGGGAGUGAAAAAGAACCUGAAACCGUGUACGUACAAGCAGUGGGAGCACGCUUAGGCGUGUGACUGCGUACCUUUUGUAUAAUGGGUCAGCGACUUAUAUUCUGUAGCAAGGUUAACCGAAUAGGGGAGCCGAAGGGAAACCGAGUCUUAACUGGGCGUUAAGUUGCAGGGUAUAGACCCGAAACCCGGUGAUCUAGCCAUGGGCAGGUUGAAGGUUGGGUAACACUAACUGGAGGACCGAACCGACUAAUGUUGAAAAAUUAGCGGAUGACUUGUGGCUGGGGGUGAAAGGCCAAUCAAACCGGGAGAUAGCUGGUUCUCCCCGAAAGCUAUUUAGGUAGCGCCUCGUGAAUUCAUCUCCGGGGGUAGAGCACUGUUUCGGCAAGGGGGUCAUCCCGACUUACCAACCCGAUGCAAACUGCGAAUACCGGAGAAUGUUAUCACGGGAGACACACGGCGGGUGCUAACGUCCGUCGUGAAGAGGGAAACAACCCAGACCGCCAGCUAAGGUCCCAAAGUCAUGGUUAAGUGGGAAACGAUGUGGGAAGGCCCAGACAGCCAGGAUGUUGGCUUAGAAGCAGCCAUCAUUUAAAGAAAGCGUAAUAGCUCACUGGUCGAGUCGGCCUGCGCGGAAGAUGUAACGGGGCUAAACCAUGCACCGAAGCUGCGGCAGCGACGCUUAUGCGUUGUUGGGUAGGGGAGCGUUCUGUAAGCCUGCGAAGGUGUGCUGUGAGGCAUGCUGGAGGUAUCAGAAGUGCGAAUGCUGACAUAAGUAACGAUAAAGCGGGUGAAAAGCCCGCUCGCCGGAAGACCAAGGGUUCCUGUCCAACGUUAAUCGGGGCAGGGUGAGUCGACCCCUAAGGCGAGGCCGAAAGGCGUAGUCGAUGGGAAACAGGUUAAUAUUCCUGUACUUGGUGUUACUGCGAAGGGGGGACGGAGAAGGCUAUGUUGGCCGGGCGACGGUUGUCCCGGUUUAAGCGUGUAGGCUGGUUUUCCAGGCAAAUCCGGAAAAUCAAGGCUGAGGCGUGAUGACGAGGCACUACGGUGCUGAAGCAACAAAUGCCCUGCUUCCAGGAAAAGCCUCUAAGCAUCAGGUAACAUCAAAUCGUACCCCAAACCGACACAGGUGGUCAGGUAGAGAAUACCAAGGCGCUUGAGAGAACUCGGGUGAAGGAACUAGGCAAAAUGGUGCCGUAACUUCGGGAGAAGGCACGCUGAUAUGUAGGUGAAGUCCCUCGCGGAUGGAGCUGAAAUCAGUCGAAGAUACCAGCUGGCUGCAACUGUUUAUUAAAAACACAGCACUGUGCAAACACGAAAGUGGACGUAUACGGUGUGACGCCUGCCCGGUGCCGGAAGGUUAAUUGAUGGGGUUAGCGCAAGCGAAGCUCUUGAUCGAAGCCCCGGUAAACGGCGGCCGUAACUAUAACGGUCCUAAGGUAGCGAAAUUCCUUGUCGGGUAAGUUCCGACCUGCACGAAUGGCGUAAUGAUGGCCAGGCUGUCUCCACCCGAGACUCAGUGAAAUUGAACUCGCUGUGAAGAUGCAGUGUACCCGCGGCAAGACGGAAAGACCCCGUGAACCUUUACUAUAGCUUGACACUGAACAUUGAGCCUUGAUGUGUAGGAUAGGUGGGAGGCUUUGAAGUGUGGACGCCAGUCUGCAUGGAGCCGACCUUGAAAUACCACCCUUUAAUGUUUGAUGUUCUAACGUUGACCCGUGAUCCGGGUUGCGGACAGUGUCUGGUGGGUAGUUUGACUGGGGCGGUCUCCUCCUAAAGAGUAACGGAGGAGCACGAAGGUUGGCUAAUCCUGGUCGGACAUCAGGAGGUUAGUGCAAUGGCAUAAGCCAGCUUGACUGCGAGCGUGACGGCGCGAGCAGGUGCGAAAGCAGGUCAUAGUGAUCCGGUGGUUCUGAAUGGAAGGGCCAUCGCUCAACGGAUAAAAGGUACUCCGGGGAUAACAGGCUGAUACCGCCCAAGAGUUCAUAUCGACGGCGGUGUUUGGCACCUCGAUGUCGGCUCAUCACAUCCUGGGGCUGAAGUAGGUCCCAAGGGUAUGGCUGUUCGCCAUUUAAAGUGGUACGCGAGCUGGGUUUAGAACGUCGUGAGACAGUUCGGUCCCUAUCUGCCGUGGGCGCUGGAGAACUGAGGGGGGCUGCUCCUAGUACGAGAGGACCGGAGUGGACGCAUCACUGGUGUUCGGGUUGUCAUGCCAAUGGCACUGCCCGGUAGCUAAAUGCGGAAGAGAUAAGUGCUGAAAGCAUCUAAGCACGAAACUUGCCCCGAGAUGAGUUCUCCCUGACUCCUUGAGAGUCCUGAAGGAACGUUGAAGACGACGACGUUGAUAGGCCGGGUGUGUAAGCGCAGCGAUGCGUUGAGCUAACCGGUACUAAUGAACCGUGAGGCUUAACCUU